rnacentral:rRNA from 1 species
UCCAGACUCCUACGGGAGGCAGCAGUGGGGGAUAUUGCACAAUGGGGGAAACCCUGAUGCAGCGACGCCGCGUGAGUGAAGAAGUAUUUCGGUAUGUAAAGCUCUCUCAGCAGGGAAGAAAAAAGACGGUACCUGACUAAGAAGCCCCGGCUAACUACGUGCCAGCAGCCGCGGUAAUACGUAGGGGGCAAGCGUUAUCCGGAUUUACUGGGUGUAAAGGGAGCGUAGACGGCAAUACAAGUCGGAAGUGAAAUACCCGGGCUCAACCUGGGAACUGCUUUGGAAACUGUAUGGCUGGAGUGCUGGAGAGGUAAGCGGAAUUCCUAGUGUAGCGGUGAAAUGCGUAGAUAUUAGGAGGAACACCAGUGGCGAAGGCGGCUUACUGGACAGUAACUGACGUUGAGGCUCGAAAGCGUGGGGAGCAAACAGGAUUAGAUACCCCCGUAA